AUGGUUCAUGAAUCAGAACAUUUUAUUCCAGGUCACUUUCACACAGGGAGGGUGGGUGGUGCGAAGCUCUCUUUGUUCAUGGCUGUGGGGAGCCUCCAGCUGCCUGAGGGAAGACGGUGCGGUGCAGGCUGACACUGGCUGUGCUUCCUUGUCCUUAGGUCAAAGGCUUUAUUGAAAGCUACAGAAAGCUCUGGCUGAGUGACUGCGGAAAGACGGGAGUGAGUGUGCCAUGGUCUGAUCCUGUCCUUGUCUGGGUCUGUGUAGUUCAGGUAGUUAAAUUUUCAACUGUGUCAUGUCACUGUGGAUAUCCUCAUUCUUCUCAGCAGCAUGAAAACCAGAUGAUUAUCCAGUCUCUCCAUCUGUGUGGCUGAGGACAGGAGUGCUCCAUGGUCUGGUCCAUUCCCUGCCAGGGCCUGCAUCUGCAAAAAGAAGGAUAACAAGCAAAGGCAGCAGCCACCCUCGUUCAUCUGGGCAACCCCUGCUCAGGGCUCAGACAGACUCCAUGACUUAACUUUGUGUCAGCAUGCCUUGUGGAAGGAAGCAAAUCUCUGGCUGUGUGUCUGAGACAGGAGCGCCCCACGGUCUGGUCCGUUCCCUGUCUGGGCCUGCGUCUGCAAAAAGCAGGAGAAAAAAUGACACAGCAGCCAUGCUGGCUCACCACGGGCAACCCCUGCCCAGGGCUCUGCCAGACUCCGUCACUUAACUUUGUGUCUGUGUCCUUAUGGAAGGUAGCGAAUCUUCGUGCCUGAGUGGCUGAGGACCGGAGUGCGCCAUGGUCUGAUCUUUCCCGUUGCGUGCCUGUGGCUGCAAAAGAGAAGAUAACUGCAGAGCAGCCACCCCUGCUCACCAUGCGCAACCCCUGGCCAGGGCCCUGCCAGACUCGAAGACUUAACUUUGUGUCCUUGCAGCAGGUGGCGAACGUCUGGCUGUGUGGUUGUCGUCAGGAGUGCGCCGUGUUCCGGUCCUGUCCUUCUGUGAGCUUCUGGCUCUGGAAGUGAAAGGAGGAGCAGCCACCAUCUGCUGCGCCUCAGGCAGCCGCUGCCUCCCUGCCCGGGCCCAGCAGCCCGGCCCUCCCCUCACUGCCUUCCUCCUGAACUCUCGCCUGAGCCCUGGCUCA
rnacentral:lncRNA from 1 species